rnacentral:rRNA from 1 species
AUUGAACGCUGGCGGCAGGCCUAACACAUGCAAGUCGAGCGGAUGAAGGGAGCUUGCUCCUGGAUUCAGCGGCGGACGGGUGAGUAAUGCCUAGGAAUCUGCCUGGUAGUGGGGGAUAACGUCCGGAAACGGGCGCUAAUACCGCAUACGUCCUGAGGGAGAAAGUGGGGGAUCUUCGGACCUCACGCUAUCAGAUGAGCCUAGGUCGGAUUAGCUAGUUGGUUGGGUAAAGGCCUACCAAGGCGACGAUCCGUAACUGGUCUGAGAGGAUGAUCAGUCACACUGGAACUGAGACACGGUCCAGACUCCUACGGGAGGCAGCAAUGGGGAAUAUUGGACAAUGGGCGAAAGCCUGAUCCAGCCAUGCCGCGUGUGUGAAGAAGGUCUUCGGAUUGUAAAGCACUUUAAGUUGGGAGGAAGGGCAGUAAGUUAAUACCUUGCUGUUUUGACGUUACCAACAGAAUAAGCACCGGCUAACUUCGUGCCAGCAGCCACGGUAAUACGAAGGGUGCAAGCGUUAAUCGGAAUUACUGGGCGUAAAGCGCGCGUAGGUGGUUCAGCAAGUUGGAUGUGAAAUCCCCGGGCUCAACCUGGGAACUGCAUCCAAAACUACUGAGCUAGAGUACGGUAGAGGGUGGUGGAAUUUCCUGUGUAGCGGUGAAAUGCGUAGAUAUAGGAAGGAACACCAGUGGCGAAGGCGACCACCUGGACUGAUACUGACACUGAGGUGCGAAAGCGUGGGGAGCAAACAGG